AGUUGGUAAAGGAGUGGAUGAUCAUUUCAAUGUUUAUCUUAUAACAUGCAAGCACUAUGAUCACCCACUCAUUUACCAUGUUACAUGUUAUAAGAUAAACAUUGAAAUGAUCAUCUACUCCUUUA
rnacentral:pre_miRNA from 1 species